rnacentral:rRNA from 1 species
UCCUACGGGAGGCAGCAGUGGGGAAUAUUGGACAAUGGGGGCAACCCUGAUCCAGCCAUGCCGCGUGUGUGAAGAAGGCCCUCGGGUUGUAAAGCACUUUCAGCGAGGAAGAACGCCUAGCGGUUAAUACCCGCUAGGAAAGACAUCACUCGCAGAAGAAGCACCGGCUAACUCCGUGCCAGCAGCCGCGGUAAUACGGAGGGUGCAAGCGUUAAUCGGAAUUACUGGGCGUAAAGCGCGCGUAGGUGGCUUGAUAAGCCGGUUGUGAAAGCCCCGGGCUCAACCUGGGAACGGCAUCCGGAACUGUCAAGCUAGAGUGCAGGAGAGGAAGGUAGAAUUCCCGGUGUAGCGGUGAAAUGCGUAGAGAUCGGGAGGAAUACCAGUGGCGAAGGCGGCCUUCUGGACUGACACUGACACUGAGGUGCGAAAGCGUGGGUAGCAAACAGGAUUAGAUACCCUGGUAGUCCACGCCGUAAACGAUGUCGACCAGCCGUUGGGUGCCUAGCGCACUUUGUGGCGAAGUUAACGCGAUAAGUCGACCGCCUGGGGAGUACGGCCGCAAGGUUAAAACUCAAAUGAAUUGACGGA